rnacentral:tRNA from 1 species
GGUCUGGUGGUGUAGUUGGUUAUCACAUCUGCUUAACACGCAGAAGGUCCUGGGAUCGAGCCCCAGCCGGAUCA